rnacentral:rRNA from 1 species
UACGUAGGUCCCGAGCGUUGUCCGGAUUUAUUGGGCGUAAAGCGAGCGCAGGUGGUUUAUUAAGUCUGGUGUAAAAGGCAGUGGCUCAACCAUUGUAUGCAUUGGAAACUGGUAGACUUAAGUGCAGGAGAGGAGAGUGGAAUUCCAUGUGUAGCGGUGAAAUGCGUAGAUAUAUGGAGGAACACCAGUGGCGAAAGCGGCUCUCUGGCCUGUAACUGACACUGAGGCUCGAAAGCGUGGGGAGCAAACAGG